UGGUGUAUGCAGCACUUCAGACCCCCGCAGAAUUUGCGGCGGCAUGGUGGCUCAGUGGUUUGCACCGCUGCCUCUCAGCGCCAGAGAACCCCCCGGUUCGACACCAUCCUACGCGGAGUUUGCACGUUCGUCCCCGUUUCCUCCUAAAGGCGUGCAGGUUAGACGGAUUAGCUACGAGAAAAGGGCACUGGUAGAAGCAGCUGAAGAUGGUUGGGCUUGGGACGUUAUCCUGAGGAACACCUGCAGUGAUGUCAGGAGCCGAGACGGCUGACUUCCACAACCAACUUAUUUUAUGCCAGAGUCUACCCCAUCCAAAGAUUUGGCAAGUUCCCACUCCUCAAGGAGAUUUGACAUUUGAAAAGAAAUACAAGCAGGUGCACAGAGGGAAGAGAGGGGCUGGGAGGAGAGAAGAGAAGAAAUCAUGGACAAGACAAAGUCCCA